GGAGGAGGAGGAGGAGGAAGUGGCUGCGGAGCGCUCGGCCAAUGAGUGUCUGGAGCUGUGAUUAACCAGGCAGCAACACAUCAUUUCCUCCCGGCGCGGAUCCAGGGAGCCGGGAGGGAGAGAGGAGGCGGCGGGGCGGGGCCGUCCCCGCGCCCCCUGCAGGCGCCCGGCCGAGGGCGAGCCCGCCGAGCCCCGCCGAGCCUGACCGCGCCGCCCCCGGCGCGCCUGGCGCUGUCUGGCCCGUCGCUCUGCCCGCCGGGUGGAAGCUGCGAGCGCGCCGCCCGCGGGGCUACUCGCAGGCAACGAGGCAGGCCGGAGCCGGGCUCCUGUGGCCGGGGUGGGAGGAGAAGAGGCGGCGCGGCGGCAAGAGUGAGUGCCCAGGUCUAGGGUUAUGCAAGAGCUUGCCAUGUUCGCAGUUGGCUUCCUUAGUGCUAGAAAUAAGCAAGGAGGAGCUUCUGCAGUGAUCUAGCCCUGUCCUAGGCGCCAUGGGAGCUUGCAAUAGAAAGGCAGCAACAUUCUCCGCCGCAGAGAGGCUGACAACCUCGGUCCGUAAAUACACAAAAACACCCCAGCGUGCUAAUAUUACCCAGAGCAUCAAAAAGGCAUGCAAGGAUCAAAUUUUGCCUGGUUCCUGCUGAGUGUAAAGGAAAGCACCAAGCCAUUUUCUCUGCCCUCUAGAAGCGUAUAAUGUACAGCCCUAUCACAGAGCAAAAUAAAAACAUGAAACCUAUAAAUGGGAAUGCCAUAAAAUAUUUUUAUCUCUACAGGUUCAUUCAUGCAGAGGGCAUUUAUUGGGUGACUGCAGUACUGCAAAAGGUUGCAAAGGAAAUGGAAGAUCUGGUCCCUGCAGGUUGAGAGUUUACAAUCUAAUUAGAAACACAAGGCGAAUGUACGUGAAACAACUAGAAUCCCCAGCUGUAAGGAAAAGAUGAAGUAGGUGGGGGCAUUUUUUUCAUAAAGAGAAGAGCUAUGUACCUAUAUGAUCGGUGAGAAUUAGGAGAGGCAAGUUCAGUAAAAAUCAAGGCAAGAGCACCUAUAUGUAUCCCUGCUCUAUAGAAUUCUAUAAGAGGGCCUUCAUUGUCACUUGGUCAGCUCUGCCACUUACAAACUGUUUUGACCUUGGGCACAUUUUUAACCUAAAAAGGGAAUAAAGGUUGUCUCCUGAGGUGGUUGUGCAGUUCAAAUGAGAUUACAAACGUGGAAGCUUGUCAAGCUCAAUCAUGUACAUUAAUGGAGUCCUCAUUGUACAAACUGGCCCCUUCUUUGUAACCUUUAGAGUUCCCUCCUAGGCUGUAAGCUCCAAGAGGGCAGGGACCACGUCUGGUUGUAUUCACCAUGUAUCACUAUGCCUAGCAGAAGGGUUCAUGGGAGCGUUCAAUAAAGUUUUGCUGAAUAGGUAAAUAAAUGAAUUAAUGAAUCCUGUUAUGCUUUGAACAGUUCCUAUUACCUGUUCCUUAAGCAGUUCCUUCAAUAGUGGUCUUAUUGUAUGGCUGGCUUAGUGAAAACCCUGUAACUCAAUCCUCCUGUGACUAACUUGUGUGCCAGGAGACUGGGAGAAUUCUGGGUGGUACUGUCAGAGGCAUUCAAACCAGAGCGACUCCAUUUUGAAUGAGGGCUAGGAAAAUGAGGCUGAGACUUGCUGGGCUGUGUUCUCAGAACAUUGGGCAUUCCUAGCCUCUGGAUGUUUACAGUAUGGGAACAAAUUAAUCCUGUUUACUCAACAAACCCAGACAUGGACGUGUCCAUAUAUCCCCAUAACUGGAAACCGAAGGUGUUCAUAAUUUUGCUUUAAAGAUAAUAAUAUGGAUUCUUGCAAAAUAUUUAAAUUAAUUAAGAAAAUUAAUUCUUUAUCACAGACUCUGGUAGCAGAGCACAACUCCCCAUAUAAGCAAGUGUUGUACCUAGGGUGGAUUUGUUCUUGUCUUACUUUUGGGAAUGUCCUACUCUGUCGAUGGAGUAGCUGUCCUUUGUCCUUUCAUCACUUUACUUUCUUAAUAAACUUGCUUUUACUUGGCA